rnacentral:rRNA from 1 species
GCCUACGGCCACACCACCCUGAAAAUGCCCGAUCUCGUCUGAUCUCGGAAGCUAAGCAGGGUCGGGUUGGGUUAGUACUUGGAUGGGAGACCGCCUUGGGCAUCUCGGGUGCUGUAGGCU